rnacentral:rRNA from 1 species
AGGACGAACGCUGGCGGCGUGCCUAACACAUGCAAGUCGAACGAGAAGUUCAUUAAUGAUACCUUCGGGUUGAAUUAAUGAAUGGACAGUGGCGGACGGGUGAGUAACACGUGAGUAACCUGCCUCUCAGUGGGGAAUAACACACCGAAAGGUGUGCUAAUACCGCAUAACGUAGUUUUACCGCAUGAUAGAACUACCAAAGAUUUAUCGCUGAGAGAUGGGCUCGCGUCCAAUUAGCUAGAUGGUGAGGUAACGGCUCACCAUGGCGACGAUUGGUAGCCGGACUGAGAGGUUGAACGGCCACAUUGGGACUGAGACACGGCCCAGACUCCUACGGGAGGCAGCAGGUGGGGAAUAUUGCACAAUGGGGGAAACCCUGAUGCAGCGACGCCGCGUGAGCGAAGAAGGUUUUCGGAUCGUAAAGCUCUGUCUUCAGGGACGAUAAUGACGGUACCUGAGGAGGAAGCCACGGCUAACUACGUG